rnacentral:miRNA from 1 species
UCCCCUAUUCUUAUAUGUGCUCCAGCUUCCCCAUUGUCCCUGGAGCACAUUUAGGAAUAGGGGAA